CCUACGGGCGGCAGCAGUGGGGAAUAUUGCACAAUGGGGGAAACCCUGAUGCAGCGACGCCGCGUGAGUGAAGAAGUAUUUCGGUAUGUAAAGCCCUAUCAGCCGGGUAGAAAAUGACGGUACCUGAUUAAGAAGCCCCGGCUAACUACGUGCCAGCAGCCGCGGCAAGACGUAGGGGGCAAGCGUAAUCCGGAUUUACUGGGGGUAAAGGGAGCGUAGACGGCAGCACAAGUCUGGAGUGAAAUGCCGGGGCAUAACCCCGGAACUGCCUUGGAAACUGUGCGGCUAGAGUGCAGGAGAGGUAAGUGGAAUGCCUGGUGUAGCGGUGAAAUGCGUCGAUAUUAGGAGGAACACCAGUGGCGAAGGCGGCUUACUGGACUGUAACUGACGUUGAGGCUCGAAGGCGUGGGGAGCAAACAGGAUUAGAUACCCUGGUAGUC
rnacentral:rRNA from 1 species